AGUGAACGCUGGCGGUAGGCCUAACACAUGCAAGUCGAACGGCAGCACAGUAAGAGCUUGCUCUUACGGGUGGCGAGUGGCGGACGGGUGAGGAAUACAUCGGAAUCUACUUUUUCGUGGGGGAUAACGUAGGGAAACUUACGCUAAUACCGCAUACGCUCUACGGGUGAAAGCAGGGGAACUUCGGACCUUGCGCGGAUGAAUGAGCCGAUGUCGGAUUAGCUAGUUGGCGGGGUAAAGGCCCACCAAGGCGACGAUACGUAGCUGGUCUGAGAGGAUGAUAGGCCACACUGGAACUGAGACACGGUCCAGACUCCUACGGGAGGCAGCAGUGGGGAAUAGUGGACAAUGGGCGCAAGCCUGAUCCAGCCAUACCGCGUGUGUGAAGAAGGCCUUCGGGUUGUAAAGCCCUUUUGUUGGGAAAGAAAAGCAGCAGGUUAAUACCCCGCUGUUCUGACGGUACCCAAAGAAUAAGCACCGGCUAACUUCGUG
rnacentral:rRNA from 1 species